rnacentral:misc_RNA from 1 species
AACGGUCUAUACCUGCGGUACCUGCGGAGGGAUCAUUCGUGAAGCAGGCGCUCCGUCGCCCUUCUCUACCCUUCAACCAUGUGGUCUUCUGCCAUUGCCUCGGGGGGGUUUGAUGCGGCCUCGGCCGUCGGGGCCCCUCGUCGGGCCCCGGCCCCCCCGGCGUGCCCUUGAUAAAGUCUUGGAGUGAUAUUUGCGUCUGAUCAGUCCGGUGGACAUAAUGAAAAUAAAACUUUUAACAAU